GCCUCGCCGUAAACUUUUAAUUACACCUCAAUCGCCCGGGAACUACAAGCAAAGCUUAAAACCCAAAGGACUUGACGGUACCCCAUAUCCCCCUAGAGGAGCCUGUCCUAUAAUCGAUAACCCCCGCUUAACCUCACCAUCUUUAGUUUAUCAGCCUGUAUACCUCCGUCGUCAGCUUACCACGUGAGCGAAACUUAGUGAGCUUAAUGCCCAUACACCAAUACGUCAGGUCAAGGUGCAGCAAAUGAGAUGGGAAGAGAUGGGCUACACUUUCUAGUAUAGAAAAUACGAAAGACUACCUAUGAAACCUAGUCAGAAGGCGGAUUUAGCAGUAAAAAGAAACCAGAGCGUCCUUUUUAACUUGG
rnacentral:rRNA from 1 species